rnacentral:rRNA from 1 species
AUGGACGCAUGCGCCGGCACCCCGCUCACCCCAUCCUAUAGCCGCGACCCCUCCACCGCCGCCGCCGCCGCAAACCCUAGCCCGGGUGGCGUUGGCCUCGCCUCCGCCGGAGCUCCUCCGACCAUCGGCCUCGCGCACGGCCUCUUCAUGCCGCCGCGGAUGACCUCGGCGGCGGGUGGCGUCGCACCGGCGCCGGCCCGAGCCGCCGCCCCCUCCUCAACGCUCCCCAAUGCGGCGCGGCCAAAGAAGGGCAAGACAUCGGCGAAGAAAAACAAGGCGGCGGACGGCUCCGGCACCUCAAAGGCGAGGAGGAAGAAGCUUGCAGGGCGUGCGACAGGCGCGGCGGCUACCGAAGCGCCAGCGAGCUCACUCGUUGAGCCGGCGGCCGACGCGCACAACAUGUUCGACGAAAUGCCCCUAAGUCUUAAUGAUGAUGCAUACAUGUCAACGAUGGGUGUUGGCUCCAACAAUUCGCAUUGGUCUCAAACCAAUGACAUGCAUUUCGAAGACCAUGAGUUCGAGGUGGACGAGGAGGGUGAGGGCAUUGUCGACGCACCGAAAGGAAGAGCGGGCAAUUACACCAACGUCGAUGACAUCUUACUAUGCAAUACUUGGUUGCAAGUGUCAAGGGAUCCAUCCGUUGGAGGUGAUCAAAGUAGAGAUGCCGUUGAAGAUCUUGCCAACACCGUCGGAGCUUCACGUGAUGCGGUGCGCGAUGAGGAGAGGGAGGAAGAUUUAUCUUCGGAGGCGGAAGAAUCGUCUUCCGAAGAUGAGGACGAGGACGAAGACGAGGACGAGGAAUGA